GACGAACGCUGGCGGCGUGCUUAACACAUGCAAGUCGAACGGUAAGGCCCUUCGGGGUACACGAGUGGCGAACGGGUGAGUAACACGUGGGUGAUCUGCCCUGCACUUCGGGAUAAGCCUGGGAAACUGGGUCUAAUACCGGAUAGGACCACUGCCUGCAUGGGUGGUGGUGGAAAGCUUUUGCGGUGUGGGAUGGGCCCGCGGCCUAUCAGCUUGUUGGUGGGGUGAUGGCCUACCAAGGCGACGAUGGGUAGCCGGCCUGAGAGGGUGACCGGCCACACGGGGACUGAGAUGCGGCCCAGACUCGUACGGGAGGCAGCGGUGGGGAAGAUUGGACAGUGGGCGCAAGCCUGAUGCAGCGCCGCGGCGUGAGGGAUGACGGCCUUCGGGUUGUAAACCUCUUUCAGCACCGACGAAGCGCAAGUGACGGUAGGUGCAGAAGAAGGACCGGCCAACUACGUGCCAGCAGCCGCCGUAA
rnacentral:rRNA from 1 species